ACUGCUGUACAUUUCUACUGCGGUUCUCCAGGCAUGGCAUUCAUAGGAAAUGCACCAGUGCUGUGCCCACAGCAGGUUCGAGUUGGCACAAGAUAUGGUCAACUUUUUCCAGCACUAACUUUAUGGUGUUAAUUUGCUGUGAUCUAUCGUUUUGUACAGCGAUAAAUGCGAGGAAUUGUGAUUCAACUGUAGCAGAGACAGAAUUUAUCUUGUGAUUUCAGGAAAAGGGUGAGAAUGAUUCAGUGGCACACCUUACAUCCCCAUGAGUAAAGACAAUUGUGUGAAUUGA